UACGGAAGGCAGCAGUGGGGAAUAUUGCACAAUGGGCGCAAGCCUGAUGCAGCCAUGCCGCGUGUAUGAAGAAAGGCCUUCGGGUUGUAAAGUACUUUCAGUCGUGAGGAAGGUGUUAAGGUUAAUAACCUUAGCAAUUGACGUUAGCGACAGAAGAAGCACCGGCUAACUCCGUGCCAGCAGCCGCGGUAAUACGGAGGGUGCGAGCGUUAAUCGGAAUUACUGGGCGUAAAGGGCACGCAGGCGGUUAAUUAAGUUGGAUGUGAAAUCCCCGGGCUUAACCUGGGAAUGGCAUUCAAGACUGGUUAGCUAGAGUCUUGUAGAGGGGGUAGAAUUCCAUGUGUAGCGGUGAAAUGCGUAGAGAUGUGGAGGAAUACCGGUGGCGAAGGCGGCCCCUGGACAAAGACUGACGCUCAUGUGCGAAAGCGUGGGGAGCAAAACAGGGAUUAGAUACC
rnacentral:rRNA from 1 species